rnacentral:rRNA from 1 species
UACGUAGGGUGCGAGCGUUGUCCGGAAUUAUUGGGCGUAAAGGGCUCGUAGGCGGUUUGUCGCGUCGGGAGUGAAAACCAGGUGCUUAACACCUGGCUUGCUUUCGAUACGGGCAGACUAGAGGUAGGCAGGGGAGAGCGGAACUCCUGGUGUAGCGGUGGAAUGCGCAGAUAUCAGGAGGAACACCGGUGGCGAAGGCGGAUCUCUGGGCCAUUACUGACGCUGAGGAGCGAAAGCGUGGGGAGCGAACAGG